GGGUGUCUGCCUUCUGGAGCCAUGUGUUGGAACCUGUCCUCUAUGUCAGAGCCAGGGCAGGAAGUGUCCUCCAGCAGGCUUUGCAGCUGAGACAUGUGAGGUACCCCAGCUAGCACAGAGAAUGGUCGCUUGCACCCAAGCACAGAGGGACAGGCAAAUCCCUGAAGACUGCCUAAGCUUCCAACCGACUGGGUGCACCCGCAUCGCGCCCCUGUUCUAAGGAAGAGCCGCUGGCUCUUGGACAGAGGUCUGGGGAGCAGCAUGUCUGCUCCCCAAGAGAAGUGUGAGAUUCCUUUUCUUUGAGAAAAAUGUAUCACCCGGAAGAAGCCCAGUAGCGGGUUCUGGCCGCUCUGUGUUGGGCAGAGUUGGAAUUUGGUUCGGAUCUCAUGUGGAAAACCCGGAGGACAGCAGUUUCCUGCAGUGUGUAGGGCCUCCUUCGUUCACACUUUGCUCCUGGCUUCAUGGGGCUCUGGGGGCAUUUAUACACGUCUGUCACUCACUUUGCCCAGCUUCCCUUGGCAGCCAGGGGGCUCCUUUUCAGCAAAUAGGAAAAAAAUGUGCUUAUUAAGCCUUCUGGAUGAGCAGCCAGCCUCCACCCAAGGCCUGUUUGGGAAGGUGGUUCAUCCUUCUCUUCUUGGGUCUCUUUCGUGGUAUGGGGUAGCUUCGAACUCACAGCAGUCCUGCUACCCCAGCUUCCUGAAUGCAGGGACUAGAGGUGUGCAUCGCCAUGCCUGGCCAGGACCUUUCGUGGUUCUGUUACGUCUACUGGAGUGCAUUCCUGUGUCUACCGGGUGGCCCCGUGGGCCAUCAUGGUGACAGCUCAGCUGGUGUGAAGAGGAACCUACUGUGUGUGGGGCGGUGACAGCCCUAGGUGGAAGUCAGCUGCGGUGAGGAGGAGGCCGGACUCCCGGGGCCACAUGUGGCAAGUGUGAGUGAGACAAGCCCCGCUUUGCCAGGUCCAGGAGGGAGCUUCUUGGACUUGGGAGCCCUCGGAGCAGCAGAUCCACUGGCCUGAGCUGUGAGAACAGCUCUGAGAGAACAGCCCUGCGACAUGGACGCCAUUGACGCAGGAGCCCUCCACCCGUGGGGCAACCACAACGCCGUUGCCUGUGCUCCCCGCCCCCGCCCUUCCCUGCCACAGUAUCGUCCCCAGCUUCCUGUUGUGUCAGAUAGGGUGGCUCUGCCGGGCCGAGGCCCCCUUGUGCAGAGAGGGCCCCACGGCCUGGGGCAGCGCAGAUUCCCUGCCUGUGUCAAAGGUCACUAGGAAGCCAGCACUGAGGCUCCAUUUCCGCUCUCCCAGCCCUCCACUCAGCACACUCUACUGGCUUUCCCACACCACCCCGGAAGUUUCUAGGCUUCCUCUCCCACUAGCUGACCCAGUGUGUGGGAAGAACAGCUUUAUUUUAAUGCAAAUAGGCAAAAGACCCAAUGGGCGCCGGCAGAGGCUAGGUGGGCCUCCUGCCUCCUUACCAUCCCCCAUCCCCCCCCAUCCUUACCAUCCCCCAUCCCCCCCACCGUCCUUACCAUCCCCCGCGCUGUAGACUAGGCCAAUAUUGAGCUUUAGGAAAUGGCCUGGGGGGGGGGUGCCCCACUGAGAGGGUCCAACUUCCUACAGUUUGGUCUCUAGAGAAGUUUCAAGCCAACUCUCCCCUUAGCCAGGACACCUCUUCAGACUCUGCCUUCCGCCAUUAAACUUUGAUUGUUUAUCGAG